UACGGGGGGGGCAAGCGUUGUUCGGAAUUACUGGGCGUAAAGGGCUCGUAGGCGGCCAACUAAGUCAGACGUGAAAUCCCUCGGCUUAACCGGGGAACUGCGUCUGAUACUGGAUGGCUUGAGUUUGGGAGAGGGAUGCGGAAUUCCAGGUGUAGCGGUGAAAUGCGUAGAUAUCUGGAGGAACACCGGUGGCGAAGGCGGCAUCCUGGACCAACACCGACGCUGAGGAGCGAAAGCCAGGGGAGCAAACGGG
rnacentral:rRNA from 1 species